rnacentral:rRNA from 1 species
UACGUAGGGGGCUAGCGUUGUCCGGAUUUAUUGGGCGUAAAGAGCGUGUAGGCGGCCAGAUAGGUCUGCUGUGAAAACUCGAGGCUCAACCUCGAGAUGUCGGCGGAAACCAUUUGGCUAGAGUCCGGAAGAGGAAAGUGGAAUUCCUGGUGUAGCGGUGAAAUGCGCAGAUAUCAGGAGGAACACCAAUGGCGAAGGCAGCUCGCUGGGACGUGACUGACGCUGAGGUGCGAAAGCGUGGGGAGCAAACAGG